rnacentral:rRNA from 1 species
UACGUAGGUGGCAAGCGUUGUCCGGAAUUAUUGGGCGUAAAGCGCGCGCAGGCGGUCCUUUAAGUCUGAUGUGAAAGCCCACGGCUCAACCGUGGAGGGUCAUUGGAAACUGGGGGACUUGAGUGCAGAAGAGGAAAGCGGAAUUCCACGUGUAGCGGUGAAAUGCGUAGAGAUGUGGAGGAACACCAGUGGCGAAGGCGGCUUUCUGGUCUGUAACUGACGCUGAGGAGCGAAAGCGUGGGGAGCAAACAGG